GGCCAGGUAGCUCAGUUGGUAGAGCAUCGCAUUGAAAAUGCGGGUGUCGCUGGUUCAAAUCCAGUCCUGGCCA
rnacentral:tRNA from 1 species